AUCCAACGGAUGAGUCCCAAAUAGGACGAAACGCACGUCAAACUAGAU
rfam:Schistosoma mattheei strain Denwood, Zambia genome assembly, scaffold: SMTD_scaffold0000737